rnacentral:rRNA from 1 species
CCCCACUAUGCCUGGCCGUAAACCUUAACUUACACCCCCCCCUCCGCCAGGGAACUACGAGCAAAGCUUAAAACCCAAAGGACUUGACGGUACCCCACAUCCCCCUAGAGGAGCCUGUUCUAUAAUCGAUAACCCACGCUUUACCCAACCAUUUUUAGUUUUUCAGCCUGUAUACUUCCGUCGCCAGCCCACCGCAUGAGCGAGACUCAGUGGGCUUAACAGUCACCGCCAAUACGUCAGGUCAAAGUGCAGCAAAUAAGAUGGCAAGAAAUGGGCUACACUCUCUACACUAGAAGAAACGAAAGAUUACAUGAAACUGUGAUCAGAAGGUGGAUUUAGAAGUAAGAAAAAUCAAAAUAUCUUUCUUAACCC